GGUUCUAUGGUGUAAUGGUUAGCACAUCGGAUUCUGAUUCCGGGGAUUUGGGUUCAAUUCCCAAUAGAACCU
rnacentral:tRNA from 1 species